rnacentral:lncRNA from 1 species
UUGGUUAAGACGGUAUCUAGGUUUAAAACUGCGAUUGCUGUCAUAUCAUUGUUGCAAUUACAUUGCGGUUUUUCGAAUUGCUACAAAUGCAGCCAAUGUGAAUGUAAUUGUAACCGCAAUUUGGAAAAAUGCGUAGUGCCAACAAAAAAUGUCUUACAUUUUCUGUUUUUGUUGUUGCAGAUAUCCUCCUAUCUUAUGUCGCGACUACCUGAGCCAGCGCUACAAUGACACUCAUGCUGAUUUGAAAAUUUACAAGAAACAACAAUCAUAAUCAUAAGUAGAACUAGUCGGUGUUUCGAGAUGAGCAGCAUAGAGAAUUUUAUUUAUUAGCUUUGUCAAUUUCUUUAAGCUUUUUUAGCUGCAUGAUGUUUUAGGAAUAACAGCAUCAGAUUUUGUUGUAUUAUAUAGGUGUUGUUUAAUAGCAAAAUUAUUUUUUUAGGAGAGGGUGUGGCUUAGCUAUUUGGUUCAGUACUUAUUGUUAAAUCUAAAAGAAAAGCAUAUAUGAAAAAUCAUGCUUUUUAUCAAUAUUCAGUUAUUCAUUCCUAGCAUUAUUAUAAAUCAAAAGCAUUGUAGUUUUCUCUCAAUAUAGUAUUCUUACAUUAUGUGACACAAUAUAAUGUUGAUAUGUGAAGUUAGUUAUUAGUCCCACAA